rnacentral:lncRNA from 1 species
UUGACUGCAUCUGGAUUCACAGGACGAGUGAACUUUUCCAUCCAUCGUUGUAAGUGUCAAAGCACUGCCUGAUAAGGCUCUCUUGACAACAUAUGGACAUUCAUAGCUUGAAGUUCACUUGCCCCUGGAAUCGGGCACGAAAGACAAGACUUUCUUUAGCACAAGGUCACCUUCUCGGAACACACGAGGCUUGACCUUUUUAUCGAAUGCUUUCUUCACUCUCUACUGAUUUAACUGACUAUGCCACAUGGCAGUUGAUCUCUUC